GACGAACCGUCCUAACGUUGUUCGGAAUCACUGGGCUUAAAGGGCGCGUAGGCGGACCACCAAGUCCGGGGUGAAAUCUUUCGGCUUAACCGGAAAAGUGCCUUGGAUACUGGUGGUCUCGAGUGAGGUAGGGGCAUGUGGAACUUCUGGUGGAGCGGUGAAAUGCGUUGAUAUCAGAAGGAACUCCGGUGGCGAAAGCGACGUGCUGGACCUCUUCUGACGCUGAGGCGCGAAAGCUAGGGGAGCGAACGGG
rnacentral:rRNA from 1 species